AGAGUUUGAUCCUGGCUCAGAACGAACGCUGGCGGCAGGCCUAACACAUGCAAGUCGAGCGAGAAGGUACCUUCGGGUACUGGACAGCGGCGGACGGGUGAGUAACGCGUGGGAAUAUACCUUUCGGUGGGGGACAACAGUUGGAAACGACUGCUAAUACCGCAUACGCCCUUUGGGGGAAAGAUUUAUCGCCGAGAGAUUAGCCCGCGUUAGAUUAGGUAGUUGGUGAGGUAACGGCUCACCAAGCCGACGAUCUAUAGCUGGUCUGAGAGGAUGAUCAGCCACACUGGGACUGAGACACGGCCCAGACUCCUACGGGAGGCAGCAGUGGGGAAUAUUGCGCAAUGGAGGAAACUCUGACGCAGCCAUGCCGCGUGAGUGAAGAAGGCCUUAGGGUUGUAAAGCUCUUUCAACUGUGAGGAUGAUGACAGUAGCAGUAGAAGAAGCUCCGGCUAACUUCGUGCCAGCAGCCGCGGUAAUACGAAGGGAGCAAGCGUUGUUCGGAAUUACUGGGCGUAAAGGGCGUGUAGGCGGACUGUCCAGUCAGGGGUGAAAUCCCGGGGCUCAACCUCGGAACUGCCUUUGAUACUG
rnacentral:rRNA from 1 species